rnacentral:misc_RNA from 1 species
GGCCCACUGGUACCACUGUAUGGGCUGUGACAUUUGGUACAGUAAAGCGCACAGUUGCACGUUUGGUCAUUCUGAUAGUCUCUAUGGGCUAUGGUGUUGUUAGACCUACUCUGGGUGGUCUCACAUCAAAGGUCCUUUUGCUUGGAGGAACAUUCUUUUUGGCUUCUGAAGUGCUUGAACUGGUAGAAAAUGUUGGUGCUGUCAGUGAUUUCUCAGGAAAAGCAAGGUUGUUUUUUGUACUUCCUGUGACAUUCUUGGAUGCUUUCUUUAUCGUUUGGAUAUUCACCUCCUUGUCGGCAACUGUGAAUAAGCUUCAGGCUAGAAGGUUGUUGGCCAAAUUAGACAUCUAUCGCAAGUUCACAAAUGCAUUGGCUGUCACUGUUGUUGUAUCUGUUGGAUGGAUGUGCUAUGAGCUGUACUUCAAGUCCACUGAUGUGUACAAUGAGCGAUGGCGAAAUGCCUGGAUUAUUCCUGCCUUCUGGCAAGUGCUAUCUUUCUCUCUCCUUUGCAUCAUCUGCGUUCUUUGGGCACCAUCUCAAAACUCCAUGAGAUAUGCCUACUCUGAUGAUGGUGAAGAGUUCGAUAAGGACGCUACAUUUACGCUCAUAAAGCCGUCCCCUCUGCUGCCAAAGGAUGUAAGAAGCCAACCUGAAGUGAGGCCAACAUUGGGUAACAGCGAACUAUCUAAUGGUGAAGUUGUAGAAGACAAGACCGAGUAAAGCAAGACACACAACUUUUUUACAGUACGUUAAAGAAAGGUACCCGUCAGACUGAGUAAAUUGUUUUUAGAAUCAUGUUAUCUAUGUUGUCUGUAUAAAAAAAGUACGAAUGUUAAUCAGGAGAAGUCUUUUAGGUAAAACAAACUUGUAAUUGUUGUUUUUUUUAGAAGUAAUGUUCAUUAAUCUAAUGUGAUCUCUCUUGCAAUAAUUCUUAUAGUUAAAAGGGUUUCGCCCAA